rnacentral:lncRNA from 1 species
CUUGAAACAGGGUCACUAAUGGAAAGUGGAGUCCUUUGCCUGUCCAAGGUAAGUAUUUGUUUUGCAGUGGCCACAAGGAGAGUUGUGUAUUCCUUUCAGAUCAGGGUACCAGCUAGGUGUAAUGGCACACGCCUGUAAUGUCAGCGACCUGGGAGGCUGAGGCAGGAAGAUCACAAAUUCAAGGCCAGGCUCAGCAACUUAGUGAGACCCUCAGCAACUCAGCAAGACCCUGUCUCAGAAUGAAAAAUAAUAAGGGCUGGGAAAGUUGCUCAAUGAUUGAGUACCCCUGGGUUUAAUCCCCAGGAACAACCCCCACCAGAAAAAAAGAUCAGGGUGCUGGUGACCUUAUGACCUGAGAAUGGUCAGAGAGCUGCUACCAGCUGGGGAGGUCCACACAGUGGCCUUAUCUCCAAACAUCCAUGAUGGGCUUCCCUAAGUCUAUGAAGGGAAGAAAGGGAGGAUGCCUUGGGUGUGGAAGGGAGGGGUUACCCAGUGGGAUUGGUGCAGUUCACUACAAAGAUCUCCCCCAAACUGGUGAGUCUGAUUGCAGCAGGUGGAAGGGAUCAAGGCCAGAGUCCAUUUCCUUUCCUGGAGGGAGGAGUUUCUCAGCUCACCUGUUGCUUCCCUGAUCUUAGGUAGCCUUUCCCUCCUUGUGUCUUUGGCCAAGGCUCUAGGCUAGAAUGUGUCCUUCCUUCAUGCCAAGAGAUGCUCUUGCUCAGGAAAAAGUAUAAGGGACAGCCCCAGGGAGACCUCUGCUCUCAGCCUCUGCCCAGGGGUUCAUGUGGUUCCAGCAGAGCAGGGCAGGAGUCCUCCAUGAUUAAGUUUCAGCUCCUACUAGUGAAGACACCAGAACCCAUCUGAACUCCUGACCCUCCCCCAACUGGAAUCUCAGGUGGAUGAGUCACAUUAGGGACCAUGGAAAAGGGCACUUUAAGCCUGUUUAUGAGAAAACAGAAGAGAAAAUGGGAAUGUCAACAUUCACCUCUAACAUCUAUCAUGGGCUUCAGAUGCUUCUCUUUACCAAAGUAAUGUUCAUACCCAACUGCCAGGGCUGUGUAAAUGAAGUCAGGGACCCUUAUGUUGGACACCCUCCUUGUCCUGAGUGCAGCUGGUGGGCUGUGGUUAUGUAACGGUGUAUUUAUCUUUCCUGCUUUUAUGGAAUGCUCGCUCAUCUUCUCACUUCCCCUUGUCUUCUGCAGGGAAGCCCAGUUCUGUCCUGUAGAAGGCUCCUGUUCCAGCAGUUUGGGGGUGCCAUCUGCUACUCUGACCAUCACAGGCCUGUUGCCCUACUGGCCACCUGCCCAUCAGACCGGCUUCCUGUGCCAUGUCCCAACCUGACCACGGCCCUGCUGGCUCCUUUAUCAACAUACCCUGCAAGAAUCUUCCCAUUUCUGGACAAGGCUUCAUUCCUGGAGGCUCCUCUGCUCUUGACCUCCAGCUGUGAUGUCUGUCUGGGUCAUUUGUCAUCAUCUUGCUUUGUCUGAAGGACAGAGAGUUGGGCAAGAAGGGAUCUAGGUAUGGGAGCUCAGUCAGAGACUGGGGAGCUCAUUUGCUUCAGAGGCAGAAGGUGAUGAGGUGGAGAGCAGAGGUGAUAGCAGAACAUAAGGUGGGCCCUGUCUGUCCUUGGUCACCGUGCAGUGCCUUCCUGGACUUGGAGACAGGAGCUUCACCACCACCAGUGCAUUUAGUGAUGUAGUGGAGGUAGAGGGGCUGCUUUCCCAGGAGCCAAGACUAGCAACAUCUUGGAGGUUGUCCUGAUAAAAAUAGGCUCCAAGCUGGGUGCAUACCUGUAAUUCCAGCAACUCUGGAGGCAGGAAGAUUGCAAGUUCAGGACCAGCCUUGGCACUUAGAGGGACUUUUUCUCAAAUUAAAAAAUUAAAAGCAUGGGGAUGUAGCUCAGUGAUAAAGCAACUUUGGGUUCAAUCCCCACCCCCACCCCCACCUAUCCCACCAAAAAAACCCUCCAUUGGUCCCUGAUCUCUGGAACUCCAAACAUAUACCUGCUUUUGUGCAAAACAUUUCUGAUCUAGUCCCAGGGAAAGGUCCAGGGAUGCUGUCAUCCGUGUUGCUAGGGGCUUGGGCUUGUGGAAGCACAGAGACUGAGCUGGGUAUGUCUGAGACCUGGGCUGCACACUUCCUUGAUUGUAGCUGAAACUUUUUCCCCACUAAUUUUAUGCAGAUUCCUGACUAUCCUUGAUGUGGGAGAAGCACCAGAAAAUCUUGCCCCUUUGAGCAGACAUUUUGUUUCCCUAGGAACAGCUGGGAAGCCAGGAAUGAGAAGGAGUUCUGAGAGAGGGAACAGGCCAAUGCUGGGCAUUUGAGGAAAACUACAGGGCCUGAGGGCUCAGCCAGCCUCCACUGGGUCCCAGUCUCCACUGGUUGUGGAAGACAUAGUUAUUUCAAUCCCCCUAUGAGUGAGAGGGGAAGAGGUGAGCUGGGGGGUAUGACGUGGCAGAUUCUGGUCAGGCCAAUGUGUGGGGGUUGAACUUAAGUGUGGGAAAGGAAUGCAGUGUCCCUCAGACCCUGCAUGUCCUUGGCAUCUGUGGAGUGUCUAGUGCAGCCUUGGGAGCUGCUUCCAUUUACUGUGCCCUCUGGGCAUGUCUGGGGCUCCAUCCCCCAAGCCUCUUACCCUUUCCAAUCAGAGCCACUUUCUCUGGGAUGAGCCAGCUGUCCUGAGGGAAAGCCCCCUGGCCUCUCACCUAUCUUAGUCUGCAGGGUGUUUUUGCUGCUGGGUUUAGGGUGAGGCACCCUCCAAGUCAAAUACAGUCUGAACAGCAGACCCUGGGUGGUGCUGCAGCUUGAAGCGCACAGGGCCUCUGGCAUAGGUGGUACAGUGCUGCGCUGCUGGGGUGUUGCUGGCUGGGCUCCCCAUUUUAAUGAGCAGAUGACAAGAUUUCUAAUCAAGUGCUUUAUCUAUACAAGGAUCUGGACCCAAUCCCAAGUCAAAGCAUAGAAAUGCAACACAUUUUUUUGGACUGAUAUUUCCUCCUUACUUUUGCCAUUAGCACAAAAUUUUGAUCUUUCAUUUCCCACUCUCGUGUUGGAUCCUGUCUGCAGACUGGGAGUGACUGCACCCCUUACCCUGUGUGGGACAUGUGCUUACAUAAAGUACUAGUCUGGUAAGAUUUAUUCUAGUUAGGAGGUCAACAAAAGAUCUUUUUAGCUGAAAGUCAGUGUAGUGGCACCCACUGCUGGAACGAGGCCUGCAGGUCUGGCGGCUUUCUGUUGGCUGGGUUUCUGAAGGAGCUUGAAAGGUCGAACUGCAUUUCUUUGAAAAUGAUUACAGGCUUCGGGCUCGCCUCUCUGGGUAGCUAGUAUUUACAGUUGGUUGUGCCAUGUUAUAUUGCAUUCUGGGGUCCUUUGAGGUUUCCAGAUUGUCCCCAUGCUGUCCUGUAUGGGAAUGUCAUACCUCCCUAUCUCUACUGCUCUAACUGCUCCUUCUGCAGCUACUAUGUGCCUGUUGGGCUUUGCCCCUGGCUCUGGGCCGGUGGGCAGGAUGGCUGGGUGUGUUCAGAAAAACAGACACAGGUUUGCUCCUGAAGAAGUACAGACAUGGGAGGUGGUCUUCACCCUCGGCUUGCUGUUGGGGUACUCUGGGUAGGAUCUGAGCUGCCACCUUCCUCUAGAUCAUGCCUCUCCAUCUUUAGAAAGUCCAUUUAUUGGCUUCCAGAGUAUGCAUUAUCUACCUACCAGAGGUCCUAGUGGAGACAAGGAAGAAGUGGAUGGGAAUGUGGCCCAGUCUCCCCUCACUCUCCUGGACCAUGGGCAGCUGCUCAGGUUCUUGGAGGGCUGUCCCCCACCUUACCCCACAUUCUGAUCCAGAAUGACUGUCCUUUUAUUGCUACACUCAGUCUUGGGGCUCAGAGACUUGCUGAAGCCCCCUAAGCCCUUAUGACUGAAUUUGUGUAGAUGGUGCUUAUGUUGGUAUUUGGGGCAUUUCCACUAUGACCUUCAUGAGAGGUUCUUCCGGUCACAUCUCUGUCUCUGGGGACCACCUGACUCACAGAAGAAACUACCCUUUGCAGGUGCUGUUGGGCACCCAGAUGUCUCUAGCUCCACUGAUGCUUGAAAACAGCUGCAGAAAAACUUGAGAUAGAAGGUCUUAGGUGGAGUUUCUGCCUAUGCUAAUGAAUGUCAAAUGAUGUUUCUUAGAAAAUAUGUGGUUCAGUUUUUGGGGGCAUAGUCUUGAAGCCCAAGCCUUCUGCCUUCUUUUACCAUCUCAUUCAACCAUGUCAUGACCCACAUGUGAAACCUUAGCCCCAGUGAACCCAUAGCCAGCUAGUGGCAAAGCUGAGACUAGAACUCACAGCCCAGGGUUCUGUCCUCUGCACCAGCUGUGUGACUGAUAGAGAAAGUGACUGGACCUUCCAGGUUUGGGGGAAGCCAUGUUGGGAGGUGCAGCACCUGGUGGGUCCUUGGUCUCUGCUAUUUUCUGUCAGGAGGGCUCUUCUCUUGGAUUGGUCAGUGAGGACCCCGGGAUUUGAUUUGAGCAAAGAGAAUGGAGAGGAAAAGGGAUUCCAGGGAACUGCUCCUCAGUGACCUCUGGUCUUCAGCUCCAGUCUAUAAGGUGGCGGAGGCCAGGGCACAGAUGCAGUUCACCACCCCCAGCUUCCUUGCUGCAAAUUAAGACAGAAGGUGGUAAAAGAAAACUCUCUCAUUUUUCUCUGAUUCUUAAAGGAAAGUGAUUAAUAGGAACCUAGGUUCAAUUGAUCAGCCGGGACAUGGCCUAUUUCACUUUCCUUACCUUGACCCUAGAAGGUGCCAACUCAAACACUACCUUUUUCAUUUGUUUCUUAGUCUAUAGAUUCAGCUGUGUUGUGGGGAAUGGUGGGGGAUUCAAGUAGAUCUUACAGCUCCAGGGGCUGGAAGGGACCAGGCCAGUCAUCCAUGUUCAGGACCCUCUGGCUCCUCCCCCACUCCAGCUAUUCCUUAUCAAAGUCAAGGGUAGGAUAAUGAAGUUUGCCAAGGCUGCCCCUGCAGCUUGGUGGGGGCCUGUGGGGGCAUUCCUCUACCCAGUUCCAGUAUCUGUUUUACCAUCAGCCCCGCAUCCACCCCUAUUCCCACCCCUCUCCUUUCAGCUGGGCCAUGUACCCCUUUGUGAGGAAGAAGAUACCCCCACUUAGGGCCACAGGCAGCGGAGUCCUGCCUACUGAGAGGCUGUUGGGACAGAGGCUCUGUCCUGUGCCUUAUCAGCCCUGGGGAGAGGAUGUUUGGCUGGAAGACUGGAAUUUAAUUGCCAUUGUCUUUGAUUUUGUGAUAUUUCUGCUUGGAGGGGUGAAACCCCCCUUCCCACUCUUUAGCAUGUGUGCCAACUCUCCCCUGUCAUGGGUGUUACCCUUCGACACUCCAGCUCAGGGAGUGCUGAUGUCCUCAUGUGAAGAGAUUCCUGUGUGAUAGAACCUAAGAAAUGUAGCUUGGAAGUGACCCCUGUGACGAUGACGUUUCUUUCUUUCCUCUUAGUGAGGAGGUGAUUUGUAGAUCCUGACUGCCUAUGUAAUGUAAAUAGUGUACAUUUAAUUUAUUGCUAUGGUAGCAUAUUGUAUUUGUUAAUGUAUAAAACAAAUUCUAAAAGGUUGACAAAUGUAUAUUUUGUUGCUUA